UGGGGAAUCUUGGACAAUGGGGGCAACCCUGAUCCAGCCAUGCCGCGUGAGUGAUGAAGGCCUUAGGGUCGUAAAGCUCUUUCGCCUGUGAAGAUAAUGACGGUAGCAGGUAAAGAAACCCCGGCUAACUCCGUGCCAGCAGCCGCGGUAAUACGGAGGGGGUUAGCGUUGUUCGGAAUUACUGGGCGUAAAGCGCACGUAGGCGGACCAGAAAGUUGGGGGUGAAAUCCCGGGGGCUCAACCCCGGAACUGCCUCCAAAACUAUUGGUCUAGAGUUCGAGAGAGGUGAGUGGAAUUCCAAGUGUAGAGGUGAAAUUCGUAGAUAUUUGGAGGAACACCAGUGGCGAAGGCGGCUCACUGGCUCGAUACUGACGCUGAGGCGCGAAAGCGUGGGGAGCAAACAGGAUUAGAUACCCUGGUAGUCCACGCCGUAAAACGAUGUCUGCUAGUCGUUGGGGGGCGUAGCCCUUCAGUGACGCCGCUAACGCAUUAAGCAGACCGCCU
rnacentral:rRNA from 1 species